rnacentral:rRNA from 1 species
CCUACGGGCGGCAGCAGUGGGGAAUAUUGGACAAUGGGGGAAACCCUUAUCCAGCGACGCCGCGUGAGGGAAGAAGGUUUUCGGAUUGUAAACCUCUGUUAGUGGGGACGAUAAUGACGGUACCCACGGAGGAAGCCACGGCUAACUACGUGCCAGCAGCCGCGGUAAUACGUAGGGGGCAAGCGUUGGCCGGAAUUACUGGGUGUAAAGGGAGCGUAGGCGGGAUGUCAAGUCAGAAGUGAAAAUUAUGGGCUCAACUCAUAACCUGCUUUUGAAACUGAUAUUCUUGAGUGUAGUAGAGGCAAGCGGAAUUCCUGGUGUAGCGGUAAAAUGCGUAGAGAUUAAGAGGAACACCAGUGGCGAAGGCGACUUGCUAGACUUUUACUGACGCUGAGGCUCGAAAGCGUGGGGAGCAAACAGGAUUAGAUACCCGAGUAGUC